rnacentral:rRNA from 1 species
AUUAAAAAAAAAAAUAAAAAAAAAAUCUGAUCUCGUCUGAUCUCGGAAGCUAAUCAGGGUCGGGCCUCGUUAGUACUUGCAUGGGAGACCGCCUGGGAAUACCAGGUUCUGUAAGC